rnacentral:rRNA from 1 species
UACAGAGGUCUCAACCGUUGUUCGGAUUUAUUGGGCGUAAAGGGUGCGUAGGCGGUCUCGCAAGUCGGAUGUGAAAUCUCAGGGCUCAACCCUGAAACUGCAUUCGAUACUGCGUGGCUAGAGUGCUGGAGGGGAGACUGGAAUUUACGGUGUAGCAGUGAAAUGCGUAGAUAUCAGGAGGAACACCUGCGGUGUAGACGGCUUACUGGACCGUAACUGACGCUGAGGCACGAAAGCGUGGGUAGCAAACAGG